rnacentral:lncRNA from 1 species
CUGGAUAGUCAGCAGUGUGCGCUCACUCCCACACACGUUUGUUCUCCUGCUAGGGAAGCCUACAGCUAUGUACCAUCUGAAAGCCAGGGACAUGGAGCAGACUCCUCUUUGGCAAGUCUUAUUUUUAGGCAGAAAAAGUGAAAAUGGAGAGCUUGAAGGUGAGAGCCAAGUCCAGUGUGGCUGCCCCCAGCCCAGGUGUUGUUCAGCUGAAUUUACAAAGCUAGUUGACGACACAGCCAGGAGCAGGCCCGGAUCUCUGAACGCCUCUGCAUUUUCCAGUGUGAAAGUUCUGUCGAGUUCCAGAGCUCAGUUACACGAGAAGUCAAAUGGCCCCAGCCCUCUGAUGUUAUCUGUGUCAAGCCAGCAACCUGAGAAUGGAGCAGGGAGAAGAAGUGUCAGCCAUGGAUGCCACGGUGGGUGGCAGAUACUUUUGUGAAUGUUGAUGAAGGAAGACCCAGCUCUCAUCCACAAAUCUGUAAGCCAAGACACCAAGCUAAUGAUGGCUAUUUAACAUCAUUCUGUCCAGUGAAAUAUAAGCAGAAGUAAUGUGAGUGAAGUUUCUGAGAAAGUUUUUCCUUUCCUGAGAAAAAAAGAUAGACUCAGUAGUCAUUUCCCUUUAACUCUUUGCCCUUCCUUAUUUUUCCUCUCACAGAGCAGAUGGGCAGCCUGAAGGUACAGCAAUCACCUUGAUAUCAUGAAGACAAGAAUGGGGCAACGAGUAUGCUUACAC